UAUCGGCCGAAACGACGACCGUUUCUCACUUUCCUUCACUUUCCGUACAUCUUCCGCCCCGUCGUCCCCUGCUUUUAACUCCUUCUCUUCCGCGCCACCGUGUUGUCUCCGAUCAUCAAUUCCGGUACCGCGAUUACUUCUCUUGUGAUUACCGUCGCUGUUGCUACGGUAGAUAAGGUCCUUGAACAGCUUCCACCUCUUGGAAUCUGCGCCGUCGGAGCUGCUCUUCUUCUUGCAGAUCUCCGGUGAGGACUCCUCCUUCUUAGGUUUCCACACGCAGUACGUCCCUUCCGG
rnacentral:lncRNA from 1 species